rnacentral:tRNA from 1 species
GAGGGUGUAGCUCAGUGGUAGAGUGCAUGCUUAGCAUGCACGAGGUCCUGGGGUCAAUCCCCCGUACCUUCC